AUGCACUGGCUUAAGGAAGGUGAUAGAAACACUAGGUUCUUUCACAUUAAGGCCUCUCAAAGAAAAGUAAAAAACAAAAUUAAGUUCAUAACUAAGAACAAUGGUGAUAUCACUUACAAGGAGGAAGAGAUUCAAAGCACCCUAGUAGACUAUUACAUUGACCUUUUCAAACCCAAUAACAACAGAACCCCUUUGAACCUAGACCCCGGGAAAAGAUGUAGUAAGGAGAUGAAAAACCAACUCCAAAAUCCUUUCACAGUAGAAGAGAUUUUCAUUACUAUAAAAAAUCUCAAAAGUGGUGCAGCCCCUGGGCCUGGUGGCAUACCAACUUAA